UGACAUGAAGAAAGCCCACACGGAAACACUUCCCAAGCCUGGGUAGAGAGCAGGCACAAUGGAAGCAGGGAUGGAGGCAGCGGUGAGGCAGACCCCUCCGUCCUCUCAUCACAGCACUGGCAGCUGCUCCUCUGCCAACAUGCACGGAGCACGCAUCUACUUCGGCUAUCUCUUCAACCACGGUGAAGUCAACUCCGUUGGACUGCUGCUGGGCCAUGGCCUCCAGCCGGCGGCGGUACUGCUCUGCUUCCUGCUCUUUCUGGCGGAGCUGGUGCCAGUACUCCUGGGCUCUCCGAUUGGCCUCCUGGAGUUGCUGUUGUAGUAACUCUCGUUCGCUGCCUUCCUGUAAGGAAGCCACGUCAUCACUGGGUAAGAGUUGCUGAUCUCAAAUUACCCAGAAGAUAAACAGGCAAACAAACAAACAAACAAAAAGAAGAAGCCCUGGUGACUAUGGCUUUUGAGUGCUUGCCUUUUUCAUCCCUCCAUCCACGCUAAAAAUAACAUUACCUUACUUUCCUCCACGCUAUUUGUUAUCUCUCCCAUCCUUGGUUUCUUUGUCACUAGUAAUUUCUCUGCUUCUUCUUCUUCCUCCUCAAUUACAGUCUCCUCUGCAACCUGACCAGCAGGUACAGUUAGAACUACAAGCCAAAAGACACUAAUUAGAGGUAAUAAAUACACAGUAAAACAAAGAGGCUUUUUGCUUGCUUUUAACUAGAAUACAAGUGAAAUAUAUACUGGUAUACUGCUUUUUAUUCUUUAGAUUUCACAAUCAAAGGUAAUGAAUGCUCUACAGAGAGAAACAGAGGAUUAAAGGGGCACUUAGAAGGGUUAAACAAGGAAGGGCACUCAUUUACAGACUUAAAAUCAUGAAGAUAAAUCCAAGGUCUGGGGAAAGCUCUUUCACUCUAGGCCAGUAGCUAGGAAUACUGAACUUACUAAUUCUGUCAGAAUAAUCUGCCUAAAAAAGGUCAAAAGGUCUAUACCAGUGAUACAGCUUAAAGGCAGAGCACAUGCUCACUAAGCACAGGAUCUUGGUUCAAUCAUCAGUAACAAACAGAGGAGAAAGAAAGGCAGAAAUCGUCAUAUAAGAUUGUUAAGAAACCUCUAAUAAAAGGGAUUAGCUGAGGCUGGGGAUUCAGCUCAGUGGCAUAAACACCUGCCUGGCAAGCGCUAGGUUGAGUUUGAUCCCCAGUCCCCCUCACCCUCUCCCCGCCAAAAAAAAAAGGGGAUCAGCCAUUAACAAUACCAAAAGAGUUAUUUUUCUUCUCAUAGAAGCGAGAGAGUCAACACACAAUACAACACAACACUCAUCAUGCAUCAUUCCUACUGGAAUGGCUAAAGUUUUUUUGGAACUGGGGACUGAACUUACAACCUCAGGAUUGCCAGGCAGGAGCUUGUGCUGCUGAGCUAAAUCCCUGGCCCCUAAAAUUUUUUAAAAAAAUGAUAAUAGCCUGGAAAUUAUACACCUAAUAUACAUACUGGGGAAGAUGUAGAAAAAAACUCAGUUAUUCACAAAUUGCUAAGCAGAAAUGUAAUAUGGUAUGACCACCCUAGAAAGCAGUUCAGCAGUUUGUUUUUAUUAUUAUUAUUGUUGUUACUAUUAUUUAUUAUUAUUAUUAUUAUUUUGUGGUUCUGGGGAUUGAACCUAAGGCCUUCACACUGACCUGCAUCCUCAAUCCUUUUUUAUUUUUUAUUUUGAGAUAUGGUCUUAGUAAAUUGCUAAAGCUGGGUAAAAGCAGUGCUGCCUCAGAUUCCCAGAGCACUGGGAUUAUGGGCAUGUAUUACCAUGCUUAUAGUUUAGUAGUUUCUUAUAAUACUAAACAUGUACUUACCAUAACCCUGGAAAUUAUAUACCUAAGUAUAAAAACCUGUACAUGAUUGUUUGUAACAGCCUUAUUCUCAGUUGAAAACUGGAAAGUAUUCAAAUGUUAUCAAUGGGUAAAUUAAACAAACUGUGUUAUAUGCAUUCAUGGAACAGUAUUCACCAAUAAAAAGGAAUAAACUGGUUUUUUAAAAA